rnacentral:lncRNA from 10 species
AGAUUUCCCCCGUCAGGGCCUGAGCCUCAUCUCCAAGCUGCUGGCUUCAGCCCAGCUGCCACCAGCGCUGUCUCUGUCUUGCGCUUUCCAGAGAGAGACUGACUCAUUUUGAGCUCCAGGCCUACCAGGCAGCCCAACCGCGGCAGUAACUGCCUCUCACACUGAGGAUGGCUCAUGCUCUGGUCCAGCCAUGGCUUGAACACCUCCCAACAAGAACAAAGCCAGACUCAUUCUCCCUAGCAUCUUCUUCCUUGCUCAAAGAUCCCACACCCCGUUAGAAGCUGGAACUGGGUCCUUGUCACCUUCCUCACCUCCCCAGUCGUAGUCUGGUUAAUCCUUACAUCUCACCACGGUCACCGUGGCUAGAUGUGACCUCCGCGAUGCUUCAGGCACGUACCAGGGCAGCCUGGGCAGGGCUGGUCACUGUGAUCUCAUGAGGUGUGAACUUGACCCCGGCCUUCUUUCCUGGGAUGCCGGCUAAGGACACAAGUUCAGUGUUUGCCCUGGCUUGUAGCCCAGCGGGGGCUCCGUCAUCCCCUGGGGAAUGCCUCGGCCUGCAAGACCGCAUACCGCAUUGGAACAGGGAAACCACCUACUUCAGCACCUCCCUCAGCAAGGUGGCAGGUCCCAACAAGCCUUGCACCACGAGGAAGUGGCAGUGGCAUUCGGGAUAUGGCUCCCUGGCCAGCUUGUGAAGUUCAAGGGGCUCGUUACUUCUUACAGCUCACAGUCCCUCCCGGGUCCAGCACACCUGAGGGCUGACCUCCCUCUUGAUUAGUGCAGGGGAAAAGCACUUUAAAAAGCUGUGUCAUGCGUAACUUGCACAUCUUCUGAUUCUGACCUGAAACUGCAUCCCAGGUCGGCACAGACGCAACCCAGUCUCCUCCCACCUCCGAGAGUGCAGUGUCCUGAAUGGAGAACCCCAGCACCCAGAAGCAUCCACUGAAGGACAGACGGGGUCUUCCUGUGUUGCCCAGGCUGGUCUCGAACUCCUGGGCUGAAGCAAUCUUCCUGCCUUGGCCUCCCAGAGGGUUGGAAUUGCAGAUGUGAGGUAAUGUCCAGUUCCUUGCCUUAUUUAUAAAAUGUAAUUUAUUUUUUGAACUUUUUCCUCUUCAGAGCCUUCCAUUCGCCUUCCUGUGUAGCCAGGCUGUUAAAAAGCUGCUUUACUUUCCGCUUUCUUUCCGCAU